rnacentral:rRNA from 1 species
GACGAACGCUGGCGGCGUGCUUAACACAUGCAAGUCGAACGGAAAGGCCCUGCUUUUGUGGGGUGCUCGAGUGGCGAACGGGUGAGUAACACGUGAGUAACCUGCCCUUGACUUUGGGAUAACUUCAGGAAACCGGGGCUAAUACCGGAUAGGAGCUCCUGCUGCAUGGUGGGGGUUGGAAAGUUUCGGCGGGUGGGGAUGGACUCGCGGCUUAUCAGCUUGUUGGUGGGGUAGUGGCUUACCAAGGCCUUGGCGGGUAGCCGGCCUGAGAGGGUGACCGGCCACAUUGGGACUGAGAUACGGCCCAGACUCCUACGGGAGGCAGCGGUGGGGAAUAUUGCACAAUGGGCGGAAGCCUGAUGCAGCAACGCCGCGUGCGGGAUGACGGCCUUCGGGUUGUAAACCGCUUUCGCCUGUGACGAAGCGUGAGUGACGGUAAUGGGUAAAGAAGCACCGGCUAACUACGUG